UGGCGGACGGGUGAGUAAUGUCUGGGAAACUGCCCGAUGGAGGGGGGUAACUACUGGAAACGGUAGCUAAUACCGCAUAACGUCGCAAGACCAAAGAGGGGGACCUUCGGGCCUCUUGCCAUCGGAUGUGCCCAGAUGGGAUUAGCUAGUAGGUGGGGUAAAGGCUCACCUAGGCGACGAUCCCUAGCUGGUCUGAGAGGAUGACCAGCCACACUGGAACUGAGACACGGUCCAG
rnacentral:rRNA from 1 species